UGGGGAAUAUUGCGCAAUGGGCGAAAGCCUGACGCAGCGACGCCGCGUGAGGGAUGAAGGUUUUCGGAUCGUAAACCUCUGUCAGAAGGGAAGAAACCGCACUGUGCUAAUCAGCAGUGCCUUGACGGUACCUUCAAAGGAAGCACCGGCUAACUCCGUGCCAGCAGCCGCGGUAAUACGGAGGGUGCAAGCGUUAAUCGGAAUUACUGGGCGUAAAGCGCACGUAGGCUGCUUUGUAAGUCAGGGGUGAAAUCCCACGGCUCAACCGUGGAACUGCCUUUGAUACUGCUUAGCUUGAAUCCGGGAGAGGGUGGCGGAAUUCCAGGUGUAGGAGUGAAAUCCGUAGAUAUCUGGAGGAACAUCAGUGGGGAAGGCGGCCACCUGGACCGGUAUUGACGCUGAGGUGCGAAAGCGUGGGGAGCAAACAGG
rnacentral:rRNA from 1 species